UUCUAAACUAUAUCUAUCUAUAUAUUAUUACGCGAAGCAAAAGCUUUGUACCACUUUUUAGGAAAAUUGCGCGAACGGAGUAUGAAAUUUCACACACUUAUAG